rnacentral:rRNA from 1 species
GUGACCUCAAAUCAGGUAGGACUACCCGCUGAACUUAAGCAUAUCAAUAAGCGGAGGAAAAGAAACUAACAGGGAUUCCCCUAGUAACUGCGAGUGAAGCGGGAAAAGCUCAAAUUUAAAAUCUGGCGGUCUUUGGCUGUCCGAGUUGUAAUCUAGAGAAGUGUUAUCCGCGCUGGACCGUGUACAAGUCUCCUGGAAUGGAGCAUCAUAGAGGGUGAGAAUCCCGUCUUUGACAUGGACUGCCAGGGCUUUGUGAUGCGCUCUCAAAGAGUCGAGUUGUUUGGGAAUGCAGCUCAAAAUGGGUGGUAAAUUCCAUCUAAAGCUAAAUAUUGGCGAGAGACCGAUAGCGAACAAGUACCGUGAGGGAAAGAUGAAAAGAACUUUGGAAAGAGAGUUAAACAGUACGUGAAAUUGCUGAAAGGGAAACGCUUGAAGUCAGUCGCGUCGUCCAGGGAUCAACCUUGCUUUUGCUUGGUGCACUUUCUGGUUCGAUGGGUCAGCAUCAAUUUUGACUGUUGGAAAAAGGUCAAGGGAAUGUGGCAUCUUUGGAUGUGUUUAUAGCCCUUGGUCACAUACAAUGGUUGGGAUUGAGGAACUCAGCACGCCGCAAGGCCGGGUUUUAAACCACGUACGUGCUUAGGAUGC